AAAACUUUUCGCUAAUAGAAGAGCCUAUGUAGGAUUAGGUAGUUGGUAUUUUGGGUAAAAGCCUACCAAGCCUAAGAUCCUUAGCUGUUCUGAGAGGUUGAACAGCCACACUGGGACUGAGACAAGGCCCAGGCUCCAUUUGGAGCCAGCAGUGAGGAAUUUUGGACAAUGAGCGAAAGCUUGAUCCAGCAAUACUACAUGAGUGAAGAAGGCUUUCAAGUUGUAACACUCUUUGGUUGAGGAGGAUAAUGACAGUACUCAACAAAAUAGCCCCGGCUAACUUCGUGCCAGCAGCCGCGGUAAGACGAAGGGGGCGAGCGUUAUCCGGAAUGACUGGGCGUAAAGGGUCCGUAGGCAGCAUUUUUUGUUGGAAGUUAAAUAAAAAAGCUUAACUUUUUUCCGCUUCUAAAACGUAAAUGCUUUGAGUUUGAUAGAAGAUAGCAGAAUUUCACAAGGAGGGGUGAUAUCCAGAGAUCUGUGAAGGAAUAUCAGAUGCGAAGGCGGCUAUCUAGAUCAACACUGACGUUGAGGGACGAAAGCAUGGGGAGCAAACAGGAUUAGAUACCCUGGUAGUCCAUGCCCUAAAAGAUGAGUGUUCGUGCUUAGAGAACUUUAGGCACUUAGUUAACCACGUUAAACACUCCGCCUGGGGAGUACGAUCGCAAGGUUGGAACUCAAAGGAAUUGACGGGGGCCUAUACAAGUGGUGGAGCAUGUGGUUUAAUGCGAUAAUACGCGCGAAACCUUACCAGUUCUUGACAUAAAAAAGAAAAAGUUUGAAAAAGCAAUUUUAAAGAUUUUUACAGGUGCUGCAUGGCUGUCGUAAGCUCGUGUCGUGAGAUGUUAGGUUAACUCCUUUUAACGGGCGAAACCCCUUUUUUUCGUUGCUACUUAAUUUUAUUUUUAAAGCACUCUAAAAAAACUGCUCCCUUUUUUUAAUUCGGAGAGGAAGGUGGGGAUGACGUCAAGUCCUUAUGGCCCUUAUGAACUGGGCUACACACGUGCUACAAUGGUAAAGACAAUAAGAAGUGAUAGGGUUACCUAAAACCAAUCUUUAAACUUUAUCAAAGUUCGGAUUGUGGACUGCAACUCGUCCAUAUGAAGGUGGAAUCACUAGUAAUCGCACAUCAGCAUGUUGCGGUGAAUUUGUACCUAGGCCUUGUACACACCGCCCGUCACGUGCCGGGAGUUGGCUU
rnacentral:rRNA from 1 species